AGACCGUUCAGGGGUAAACCUGAGAAACCCGAAAGAUCGAUCGAGGAGAUUCAUCGUCAGCGGGGUCGGCUUCCAUGUGGUAUGCGAUGAUGUUGAGUCCUCUCAAUUCACGCUUCCGCUGUGGUAUGUGUCCGAUCACGUUGGCGUGCACUUCUCCUCUAGUAGAACGUCGCGACCCGCUGGGUGUCGGUUUAAGGACCAAGAUCGUCGACUGUACCGUCGCUUCGGCGUUACGUGUGCAGACGCUUGGAUUCCCGACCGACUGCUCGGCGGUAAACACAAGGUAUCGAGCCGCACUCGAAUGCGUUCAGACUCGUUGCAAGCUGUGUCAUUUAAUUGGAUGUGCGGACCUAGUGCCGUCUCUGAUGGUGACUGGCUGUUGGUUGACGAUGUUCUCGAACCGGCUUACACUUGCUGUACAGCGAUACCGGUCGGCGACGCUAUUGCUUUGGGUACUUUCAGGA
rnacentral:rRNA from 1 species